CUAGAUAGUGCUGUCGACCUCUCAAUGUAUUAGGUUUAUCCAACUCGUUGAAUGGUGUGGCGGGAUAUUUCUGGUAUUGUUGGCCCGGCCUUACAACAACCAAACAAGUUUGACCUCAAAUCAGGUAGGAAUACCCGCUGAACUUAAGCAUAUCAAUAAGCGGAGGAAAAGAAACCAACAGGGAUUGCCUUAGUAGCGGCGAGUGAAGCGGCAAAAGCUCAAAUUUGAAAUCUGGCGCCUUCGGUGUCCGAGUUGUAAUUUGAAGAUUGUAACCUUGGGGUUGGCUCUUGUCUAUGUUUCUUGGAACAGGACGUCACAGAGGGUGAGAAUCCCGUGCGAUGAGAUGCCCAAUUCUAUGUAAGGUGCUUUCGAAGAGUCGAGUUGUUUGGGAAUGCAGCUCUAAGUGGGUGGUAAAUUCCAUCUAAAGCUAAAUAUUGGCGAGAGACCGAUAGCGAACAAGUACAGUGAUGGAAAGAUGAAAAGAACUUUGAAAAGAGAGUGAAAAAGUACGUGAAAUUGUUGAAAGGGAAGGGUUUGAGAUCAGACUCGAUAUUUUGUGAGCCUUGCCUUCGUGGCGGGGUGACCCGCAGCUUAUCGGGCCAGCAUCGGUUUGGGCGGUAGGAUAAUGGCGUAGGAAUGUGACUUUACUUCGGUGAAGUGUUAUAGCCUGCGUUGAUGCUGCCUGCCUAGACCGAGGACUGCGA
rnacentral:rRNA from 1 species